UGCUCAGGUCCCCUUCCAUGGUGUGGAAGCUUUGUUCUUUCGCUGUUCACAAUGAAUCUUGCUGCUGCUCACUCUUUGGGUCCGCACUAGCUUUAUGAGCUGUAACGCUCACUGCGAAGGUCUGUGGCUUCACUCCUGAAGUCAGCAAGACCACGAACCCACCGGAAGGAGGAAACAACUCCGGAAGCACCACGUUUAAGAGCUGUAACACUCACUGCGAAAGUCUGCAGCUUCACUCCUGAAGUCAGCAAGACCACAAACCCACCGGAAGGAAGAAAUUCCAGACACAUCUAAACAUUGGAAGGAACAAACUCCAGACACACUAUCUUUAAGAACUGUAACACUCACCGCGAGGGUCUGUGGCUUCAUGCUUGAAGUCAGCCGGACCAAGAACCCACCGGAAAGAACCAAUUCCUGACACAAUCCUUAAUGGAGCGACCCACAUGGUGAGAAACUGAGGCCUCUUGGCAACAGCUAUGUCACUAAACCAACUUGGAAGUGGG
rnacentral:lncRNA from 1 species